ncrna:unclassified sequences skipping-rope RNA
ACUAUUUGAGGUGGUAAAUUUCGUUGCGACCACGCGCCGAUGGUAUGACAGGGGAAACCCGAGAGAUGCGGGAGAAAGCGACGCCCGCCAAAUUGU